rnacentral:rRNA from 1 species
GAUGAACGCUGGCGGCGUGCCUAAUACAUGCAAGUCGAGCGAACAGACGAGGAGCUUGCUCCUCUGACGUUAGCGGCGGACGGGUGAGUAACACGUGGAUAACCUACCUAUAAGACCGGGAUAACUUCGGGAAACCGGAGCUAAUACCGGAUAAUAUAUUGAACCGCAUGGUUCAAUAGUGAAAGACGGUUUUGCUGUCACUUAUAGAUGGAUCCGCGCCGCAUUAGCUAGUUGGUAAGGUAACGGCUUACCAAGGCAACGAUGCGUAGCCGACCUGAGAGGGUGAUCGGCCACACUGGAACUGAGACACGGUACAGACUCCUACGGGAGGCAGCAGUAGGGAAUCUUCCGCAAUGGGAGAAAGCCUGACGGAGCAACGCCGCGUGAGUGAUGAAGGUCUUCGGAUCGUAAAACUCUGUUAUUAGGGAAGAACAAAUGUGUAAGUAACUAUGCACGUCUUGACGGUACCUAAUCAGAAAGCCACGGCUAACUACGUG